UACAGAGGGUGCGAGCGUUAAUCGGAAUUACUGGGCGUAAAGCGUGCGUAGACGGUCAUGUAAGUCGGGUGUGAAAGCCCCGGGCUCAACCUGGGAAUUGCAUUCGAGACUGCAUGGCUAGGAUGCGGAAGAGGGAAGCGGAAUUUCCGGUGUAGCGGUGAAAUGCGUAGAUAUCGGGAGGAACACCAGUGGCGAAGGCGGCGCUCUGGGCCGGAACUGACGCUGAGGAGCGAAAGCGUGGGUAGCAAACAGG
rnacentral:rRNA from 1 species